ensembl:lncRNA
CUUCCCUUCCCUUCCCUUCCCUUCCCUUCCCUUCCCUUCCCUUCCCUUCCCUUCCCUCUACAAAACCAUUGUGACACCCUAGUUAAAAAAACAGUCAUUGCCUGUGAUAAAUAGCAGACAUUGAGGAUCUACAUUUUGCAUGUGGUCCCUCCAGAGACUGCUCCGUGCCGAGCCGUAUGUAUCUAGAAAUCUGAGGCAGUAUACUUUUCCUUCGUAUCUGUUUCUGUUUACCUAAAAGAUCAGAGCUCCUAUUUGUGUUUUCAUUGUGUUUCAGUGUUUGCGUUGGGGCCCGUGAGUAACCACGUUCUUCUCUUUUGAAAGGCUCGAAGCAGAGCGCCGCUGCGGUUACUUCUGGGUUGCAGCACUGGAGAAAAGUUGCCGUUUUCUGCAGGUUCAUCUCUGAUGAGGGAGGAAGAAACUCCUUCCGCUGCCUUUAGCUUAUUUUGGUGAGAUGUCCCUUCUGCGUGACAUCAUGUCACAUCAGAGCGCUUUGGGGCAGUGUGGCUGCGAGGCACGCGGAUGAACCGAGGAAGCCGUUCACAGCUGAAUUAAGUGCUGGCUUCUCUCACAGGGCUUUGGCUCAACUUUUUCUUCUCCCGAAUCCUCCUGCUCCUGGAUGUACGUAAUUAAAUGACAACCCCAGCUCUUGUGAGAAAUAAAAAAUACGCUUUCUAUACAUCACGAUUCUGGAGGGACGCUUUAAAAAGUGAUUCGACGUUCCCCUAAAUGUGCAGCGACCAACGGAGAAAUAAAAUGAAACCCACGUUUAUUAUUAGGAAAAAUCUUGAAACUUUUAGCCGUGCUUGUCAUUUUUAAAACUGACUUAUGAUUUAGAUGAGACAUUAAGAACAGCUUCCUAAUGGGAAGAUGGGAAGCACGAGAAUAGAUUGCCUGCAGUGGCAGUGGGAGGAUUUGAAAAUUGGGUGGACAAAUGUCUGCCGGAAUGCAGCAGCUGCAGCCCAUCCGGCCCCAUGCAUUGGACACACCAGGACCCCUUCGUGCCCCUGUGGACAGGGGCUGUCACACCCGGGGUUGCUCCCUGCCCGGUGCUGCCUUUCCGCUUGACUUCUCUGUGCUUACUUUUUGGGCAUAAGCAGCUCCUCUGGGCAGCCAGGAGCAAGGCAGGGGGUCACCUUCUCUGCACACGUUAUACAUGAAUAAACACCUUCCUAGGAUUACUUAACCCAAGUCCGCUGUGCGCCUGUUUCCCUGCUGACACACCAUUAGCAUCUGAAGCAUCUAUAUUUCCCGAAUUGCACUGAGAUAACUUAUCGCUCCAGCUGCUUAUCUCAGACCUGCCCCGUGGAUCCAGGGGAAAGAUUUCCCCUUUAGCGCUAACAACGGGUGCC